rnacentral:rRNA from 1 species
GAUGAACGCUGGCGGCGUGCCUAAUACAUGCAAGUCGAGCGAACAGACGAGGAGCUUGCUCCUCUGACGUUAGCGGCGGACGGGUGAGUAACACGUGGAUAACCUACCUAUAAGACUGGGAUAACUUCGGGAAACCGGAGCUAAUACCGGAUAAUAUAUUGAACCGCAUGGUUCAAUAGUGAAAGACGGUUUUGCUGUCACUUAUAGAUGGAUCCGCGCCGCAUUAGCUAGUUGGUAAGGUAACGGCUUACCAAGGCAACGAUGCGUAGCCGACCUGAGAGGGUGAUCGGCCACACUGGAACUGAGACACGGUCCAGACUCCUACGGGAGGCAGCAGUAGGGAAUCUUCCGCAAUGGGCGAAAGCCUGGCGGAGCAAAGCCGCGUGAGUGAUGAAGGUCUUCGGAUCGUAAAACUCUGUUAUUAGGGAAGAACAAAUGUGUAAGUAACUAUGCACGUCUUGACGGUACCUAAUCAGAAAGCCACGGCUAACUACGUG